rnacentral:rRNA from 1 species
GAUGAACGUUGGCGGCGUUGCUAAUACAUGCAAGUCGUGCGGCAGCGAGUACUCACUGUUUGCUUGAUGAAUAGAUAGAGCGCGAUUUUCAGAUUUGACGGAGCUUUAUAUAUCCCACUAAGGGCACCUCGGAAGCUCAUUUUGUGUUAUAAAAAACACAAAAUGAGACCCGCAAGUGCCCGUGGGAAAUAUAUAAAAGCUCCGUCAAAUCUGAAAAAUCUCCAUCCUACAUCGAGCACACUGUGAGGAAUGUCGGCGAGCGGCGGACGGCUGAGUAACGCGUGGGAAUCUGCCCCAAAGUGAGGAAUAACCGCCCGAAAGGGUGGCUAAUACCGCAUGUGGUCUUCGGAUCAAAGAAUCUUUUGAUUCGCUUUGGGAGGAGCCCGCGUCCGAUUAGCUUGUCGGUGAGGUAAUGGCUCACCAAGGCGACGAUCGGUAGCUGGUCUGAGAGGAUGAUCAGCCAGACUGGAACUGAGACACGGUCCAGACUCCUACGGGAGGCAGCAGUAAGGAAUAUUCCACAAUGGGGGCAACCCUGAUGGAGCAACGCCGCGUGCAGGAUGAAGGCCUUCGGGUCGAAAACUGCUUUUCUCUGUGACGAAUAUGACGGAAGCAGAAGGAAUAAGGAUCGGCUAACUACGUGCCAGCAGCCGCGGUCAUACGUAGGAUCCGAGCGUUAUCCGGAAUGACUGGGCGUAAAGCGUUGCGUAGGUGGUGAUUUAAGCGAAUAGUGAAAUCUUGUGGCUCAACCAUAAACCCAUUAUUCGAACUGGAUCACUUGAGAGCGAGAGAGGUAGCUGGAAUUCCCGGUGUAGGAGUGAAAUCCGUAGAUAUCGGGAGGAACACCAAUGGCGUAGGCAGGCUACUGGCUCGUUUCUGACACUAAGGCACGAAAGCGUGGGGAGCGAACCGGAUUAGAUACCCGGGUAGUCCACGCCGUAAACGAUGGAUGCUAGCUGUCGGGGGUAUCGACCCUCCCGGUAGCGAAGCUAACGCGUUAAGCAUCCCGCCUGGGGAGUACGGUCGCAAGAUUAAAACUCAAAGGAAUUGACGGGGACCCGCACAAGCGGUGGAGCGUGUUGUUUAAUUCGAUGAUAAGCGAAGAACCUUACCAAGGCUUGACAUCCUGGGAAUUUUGGCGAAAGCCGAGAGUGCCUUCGGGAACCCAGUGACAGGUGUUGCAUGGCCGUCGUCAGCUCGUGUCGUGAGAUGUUUGGUUAAGUCCAUUAACGAGCGCAACCCCUAUGAUUAGUUGUAUUUUUCUAGUCAGACUGCCCCGGUAACGGGGAGGAAGGAGGGGAUGAUGUCAGGUCUGUAUUACCCUUACGCCUUGGGCCACAAACGCGCUACAAUGGCCGGUACAAAGGGCAGCCAAGUCGCGAGACGGAGCAAAUCCCAUCAAAGCCGGUCUCAGUUCGGAUAGCAGGCUGAAACUCGCCUGCUUGAAGCUGGAAUCGCUAGUAAUCGCAGGUCAGCACACUGCGGUGAUACGUUCCCGGUCUGACACAC